GACGAACGCUGGCGGCGUGCUUAACACAUGCAAGUCGAACGGAAAUGCCUUGUUUUUGUGUGGUUCUCGAGUCGCGAACGGGUGAGUAACACGUGAGUAACCUGCCCUUGACUUUGGGAUAACUUCAGGAAACUGGGGCUAAUACCGGACAGGUGCUCCUGCUGCAUGGUGGGGGUUGCCACGUUUCGGCUGUUGGGGAUGUACUUGCGGCUUAUCAGCUUGUUGGUGGGGUAGUGGCUUACCAAGUCUUUGGCGGGUAGCCGGCCUGAGAGGGUGACCGGCCACAUUGGGACUGAGAUACGGACCAGACUCCUACGGGAGGCAGCAGUGGGGAAUAUUGCACAAUGGGCGGAAGCCUGAUGCAGCAACGCCGCGUGCGGGAUGACGGCCUUCGGGUUGUAAACCGCUUUCGCCUGUGACGAAGCGUGAGUGACGGUAAUGGGUAAAGAAGCACCGGCUAACUACGUG
rnacentral:rRNA from 1 species